rnacentral:rRNA from 1 species
CCGACGGUGAGGGGCGAAGGCUGGGGGCGCAAACCGGAUUAGAUACCCGGGUAGUCCCAGCAGUAAACGAUGCCAGCUAUGUGUUGCUGGAACCAUGGGUUCCAGCAGUGCCGAAGGGAAGCCGUGAAGCUGGCCACCUGGGAAGUACGGUCGCAAGGCUGAAACUUAAAGGAAUUGGCGGGGGAGUACCACAACCGGUGGAGCCUGCGGUUUAAUUGGAUACAACGCCGGGAAUCUUACCGGAGGGGACAGCAGUAUGAAGGCCAGGCUAAAGACCUUGCCAGAUCAGCUGAGAGGAGGUGCAUGGCCGUCGCCAGUUCGUACCGUGAGGCAUCCUGUUUAGUCAGGCAACGAUCGAGACCCGCAGUCUUAUUUGCCAGCAUGCCCUUUGGGGUGUAUGGGUACAAUAAGACGACCGCCAGCGCUAAGCUGGAGGAAGGAGCGGGCUACGGUAGGUCAGCAUGCCCCGAAUCCUCCGGGAUACACGCGGGCUACAAUGGUCAGGACAAAAGGUACCGACCUCGAAAGAGUGAGGUAAUCCACAAACCUGAUCUCAGUCCGGAUCGAAGGCUGCAACUCGCCUUCGUGAAGAUGGAAUCGGUAGUAAUCGUGACUCAGAAUGUCACGGUGAAUAUGUCCCUGCUCCUUGCACACACCGUCC